UGGUGUGGGGACUCUGUUAUUUGCCAUUGUUCUGCAGUUUAAGAUCAUCCCACUCGAGUCCCGGCAUACCAUUCUUGUUCCCGAUCUGGAAUUUUGUUUGUCAAAAGCUCCAUCAAAAUUUAUUUUUAUUUCUGUUGGGUUUGCUGGUUUCCACCGUUCGUCUUCCACUCUCUGUCCAGGAUUUUAUUCCUCCGCAUCCAUAUUGCCCAGAUGAUAGAAACUAUAACUUUCCUUUGAGCACUGGUUGAUCUGGCGUGUUCCAUGGAUUCUACCAUUUCUCUACAGCAUGGGCACAAAGCAUUGUUGCAUAUUCUUUUGUAAUGUAGAUUUCCCAUUGUUGGAAUAUAGCCAUUGUACACCCUCCAAUAUGUGAUUUUUAUUUUUCCUGGUAGAUGCCAAAGCUAUUUGUGGAAGAAUGUAUUUAUAUCUGUAAUAUUAAUUGUCAUAUUGUCUAGGGUUGAUCUUUCCUUUGUAAGUCAUCUGUAGGCACUUCUCACUAUAUAUUCCUCUGUUUGUUCCCUGUUCCAAAUUCUAAAGUCGUCCUGUGGAUACUUUGCUAGCGAGGUACUUAAUAUUGCAUUCGCCUCUUCUCUUGAGAAUAAGCUGGCCAGGGAUCUAAGCAUCGUUCCAUAUUGAAAAUUGAUUUAUUUUUCCCACUCUCCAGGCCAUACCUUCUUUCAAUAACUUCUUACUUGCCCAUACGCUUCUCCAAGUAUCUGAUGGGUAAUUUCCUAAUUCAGCUUGCAAAAAGUCACUCUCGAUAAUAUUCAAGUUUUAAUGUUCUUGCAAGUAAUGAAUUGGGGUUUUCCAUUAGCCUCCAGCCCUGUUUUUCUAGGAGGCCAUUUGCCUAAAUUUCGGAACCCCAUUCCCCCUUCCAAUUUUGGACUGCAAAGUUUUCUCCAGCUAUACCAAUGUAUUCCCCUUUUACCUUUCUGUUUUUGCCACCAAUAACAACUAAUUAUUUGCUUCAUUUCUUGACAUAAUGAAUUUGGUAAUAAGAAACAUGACAUUGCAUAGGUGGGAAUAGAUUGAAGAACACUUUUAAUAAAAACUUCUUUUCCUCUUUGGGAAGUAUUUUAACACUCCAAUUAUUUACUCAUUCUGCCAUAUUGUCUCUUAAAUUCUGGAAUGCCCUUUUCUUUUGUCUUACCACAAUGUUGGGUAGUCCCAGAUAUUUUUCAACAUCUUUCACGCUUCUAACUUGUAAUGAUUGGGAUACCUUCUCCCUUUCUUGCGCUGAACUGUUCGAGCUAAAGAAAACUGUUGAUUUAUCCAUAUUGAUACUUUGGCUAGAAUUUUGUUCAUAAAC